UACGGAGGGUGCAAGCGUUGUCCGGAUUCACUGGGUUUAAAGGGUGCGUAGGUGGGUUGGUAAGUCAGUGGUGAAAUCCCCGAGCUUAACUUGGGAACUGCCAUUGAUACUAUUAAUCUUGAAUACUGUGGAGGUCAGCAGAAUAUGUCAUGUAGCGGUGAAAUGCUUAGAUAUGACAUAGAAUACCAAUUGCGAAGGCAGCUGGCUACACAAAUAUUGACACUGAGGCACGAAAGCGUGGGGAUCAAACAGG
rnacentral:rRNA from 1 species